GUGCCAGCAGCCGCGGUAAUACGGAGGGUGCAAGCGUUAAUCGGAAUUACUGGGCGUAAAGCGCGCGUAGGCGGUUUGGUAAGUCGGAUGUGAAAUCCCCGGGCUUAACCUGGGAAUUGCAUUCGAUACUGCCAGGCUAGAGUGUGGAAGAGGGAAGCGGAAUUUCCGGUGUAGCGGUGAAAUGCGUAGAUAUCGGAAGGAACACCAGUGGCGAAGGCGGCUUCCUGGUCCAACACUGACGCUGAGGCGCGAAAGCGUGGGUAGCGAACAGGAUUAGAUACCCUGGUAGUCCACGCUGUAAACGAUGAGAACUAGAUGUUGGGGGGUAUAACCCCUCAGUGUCGCAGCUAACGCGUUAAGUUCUCCGCCUGGGGAGUACGGCCGCAAGGUUGAA
rnacentral:rRNA from 1 species